rnacentral:rRNA from 1 species
UUGGAGGGCAAGUCUGGUGCCAGCAGCCGCGGUAAUUCCAGCUCCAAUAGCGUAUAUUAAAGUUGUUGCAGUUAAAAAGCUCGUAGUUGAACUUCGGAAUCAAUGGAUUGGUCAUGCCGUUGGUAUGUACUGGUCAUAUUGGUUCUCACCUUCUAAGGAACCAUAAUGUCAUUCAUUUGAUGUUUUGGAGAAUCAGGACUGUUACCUUGAAAAAAUUAGAGUGUUUAAAGCAGGCUAACGCUUGAAUACAUUAGCAUGGAAUAAUGAAAUAGGACGUUCGACCCUAUUUUGUUGGUUUCUAGGAUCGACGUAAUGAUUAAUAGGGAUAGUUGGGGGCAUUAGUAUUCAAUUGUCAGAGGUGAAAUUCUUGGAUUUAUUGAAGACUAACUACUGCGAAAGCAUUUGCCAAGGAUGUUUUCAUUAAUCAAGAACGAAAGUUAGGGGAUCGAAGACGAUCAGAUACCGUCGUAGUCUUAACCAUAAACUAUGCCGACUAGGGAUCGGACGAUGUUAAUUUUUUAAUGACUCAUUCGGCGCCUUACGGGAAAC